rnacentral:tRNA from 1 species
GGUGGGGUGGCGGAGCCUGGCUGAACGCACCGGUCUCGAAAACCGGAGUGCCCUUUUGGGUACCGGGGGUUCGAAUCCCUCCCCCACCGCCG